GUCCCUAUCGUCUAGAGGCCUAGGACAUCGCCCUUUCACGGCGGUAACCGGGGAUCGAAUCCCCGUAGGGACGCCA
rnacentral:tRNA from 1 species